UCUUUUGUUCAUUUGAGUCUGUGUUCCGCAAGAAUGACAAUCGAUAGUUCUCAAUCUCUCUGUAAUGACUUUAAUGGCAUUAAUACAGACGCCCAAAACGAGCCCUUCAAUGCGUCGUUUCCAUCGGCGAAAUCUCCGCUAUAAAUAGGGUGUUUUUUUCUUAUUUGAAGACCUGGAAGUGUUCAUCGGUUGUGGAAGCUAGACUGCUGAGAUACUGGGAGGCUAGGAACGUUAAGCGUGGAGAGCUUAUGUGGGAUCCAUAAGAUGAGAGGAGAGAGUUGGUUUCAAAUAAUAACAGGGCCUAACUUGGGAGGGAAGUCCACUUUCAUUCGCCAGGUUGGUGUGACUGUACUGAUGGCUCAAGUUGGUUCCUUUGUUCCUUGUGAUGAAGCUUCAGUUUCCAUCAGAGACUGUAUCUUUGCCCAUGUAGGAGCAGGCGAUUGCCAACUGCCUGGAGUGUCUACUUUCAUGCAAGAAAUGCUUGAAAUCGCUUUGAUUUUUAAAAGUAGCUACCGAUAAAUCACUAAUAAUAAUCGAUGAAUUGGGCCGUGGAACAUCAACCUAUGAUGGUUUUGGUCUAGCAUGGGCUAUAUGUGAGCGUCUGGUUCAAGUGAAGAAAGCUCCUACUCUGUUUGCUACUCACUUCCAUCAACUUACUGCCUUGGCUCAAGCAAACUCUGAGGUUGCAGGUAACAUCGUUGGUGUUGCAAACUUCCAUGUCAGUGCACACAUUGAUACAGAAAGCCGCAAACUCACCGUGCUUUACAAGGUUGAACCAGGGGCAUGUGACCAGAGCUUUGGGAUCCAUGUGGCUGAGUUUGCUAACUUCCCUGAAAGCGUAGUGGCUCUAGCAAGAGAGAAAGCUACAGAAGUGAAAAAAUGCUAGGAUAUGCGAGCAGUUUACUUGAUAGCAACAUCAAGGCUACUUCCUUCAAAAACAAACGUACUACCAACAAUACAGUGACUGGAAUAGCUGGGAGUGUGUCCCCAAGAUUUCAUAUCCAACUUCAGUGCAUUGAUUCAUCAGUCACCCCAUGGUUGGUUGUUGUUUUCAUGUUAAAUACGAGAAGAACAUUUGGGCAUAUAUAUUACUUAAAUUAAUGGAUGCAUCUGGUUUAGAGUUGA